rnacentral:rRNA from 1 species
UGAAUGUCCUAGGGGGUAUUGCACUUACCGAAGACUAUCAAACUCCGAAUGCCGUUUUCUUUUACUUGGGAGUCAGACUGUGGGUGAUAAGAUUCAUAGUCAAAAGGGCAACAGCCCAGAUCGUCAGCUAAGGUCCCUAAAUGUACGUUAAGUGGUAAAGGAUGUGGGAUUGCACAGACAACCAGGAUGUUGGCUUAGAAGCAGCCACUCAUUUAAAGAGUGCGUAAUAGCUCACUGGUCGAGUGAUCCUGCGCCGAAAAUUUCCGGGGCUAAAACGUACUACCGAAGCUACGGCAUCAUUUAUGAUGGGUAGGGGAGCUUCGUAUGCAGGCUGAAGCAUGACCGUAAGGACAUGUGGACAGUAUACGAGUGAGAAUGUUGGCAUGAGUAGCGAGACGUGGGUGAGAAUCCCACGGGCCGUAAACCCAAGGUUUCCAGGGGAAGGUUCGUCCGCCCUGGGUUAGUCGGGACCUAAGCCGAGGCCGAAAGGCGUAGGUGAUGGACAACAGGUUGAUAUUCCUGUACCGCCAAUAAGCGUUUGAGAGAUGGAGUGACACAGUAGGAUAAGCUAACCGUACUGUUGGUUAUGUACGGCUAAGCAUUGAGGCAGUCUAAAUAGGCAAAUCCGUUUAGACAAUGCUAGGAUGUGAUGGGGAAGCCCUUCGGGGCGAAGUAGCUGAUUUCACACUGUCAAGAAAAGCUUCUAUCGAGUUUAAAGGCGCCCGUACCGUAAACCGACACAGGUGGGUGAGGAGAGUAUCCUAAGGCCAGCGAGAGAACUAUUGUUAAGGAACUCGGCAAAAUGACCCCGUAACUUAGGGAGAAGGGGUGCCUGUCUAUGACAGGCCGCAGAGAAUAGGCCCAAGCGACUGUUUACCAAAAACACAGGUUUCUGCUAAGUCGCAAGACGAUGUAUAGGAGCUGACGCCUGCCCGGUGCUGGAAGGUUAAGGGGAUCUGUUAGAGCAAUCGAAGCAGUGAACUUAAGCCCCAGUAAACGGCGGCCGUAACUAUAACGGUCCUAAGGUAGCGAAAUUCCUUGUCGGGUAAGUUCCGACCCGCACGAAAGGCGUAACGAUUUGGGCACUGUCUCAACAACAGACUCGGUGAAAUUGUAAUACCGGUGAAGAUGCCGGUUACCUGCGACAGGACGGAAAGACCCCAUGGAGCUUUACUGUAGCUUGACGUUGGGUCUUGGUACUACAUGUACAGGAUAGGUGGGAGACUAUGAAGCAUGGACGCCAGUCUGUGUGGAGUCAUCCUUGGGAUACCACCCUUGUAGUACUGGGAUCCUAACCAUAGGCCUUGAAUCAGGUCUUGGAACACCGUCAGGUGGGCAGUUUGACUGGGGCGGUCGCCUCCUAAAAAGUAACGGAGGCGCUCAAAGGUUUCCUCAGCACGGUCGGAAAUCGUGCGAAGAGUGUAAAGGCAAAAGGAAGCUUGAUUGCAAGACAUACAGGUCGAGCAAGGACGAAAGUCGGACUUAGUGAUCCGGUGGUUCCGCAUGGAAGGGCCAUCGCUCAACGGAUAAAAGCUACCCUGGGGAUAACAGGCUUAUCUCCCCCAAGAGUCCACAUCGACGGGGAGGUUUGGCACCUCGAUGUCGGCUCAUCACAUCCUGGGGCUGUAUUCGGUCCCAAGGGUUCGGCUGUUCGCCGAUUAAAGUGGUACGCGAGCUGGGUUCAGAACGUCGUGAGACAGUUCGGUCCCUAUCCGUCGCAGGCGUAGGAAAUUUGAGGAGACCUGUCCUUAGUACGAGAGGACCGGGAUGGACGUACCUCUGGUGUACCAGUUGUUCUGCCAAGGGCAUGGCUGGGUAGCUAUGUACGGAAUGGAUAAGCGCUGAAAGCAUCUAAGCGCGAAGCCAACUUCAAGAUAAGAUUUCCCACCGUAAGGGUAAGACCCCAGGAAGACUACCUGGUUGA